CAUUUUCCUGAAGAAUAAUUGUUUCUCCAUUCCUCAGAUCACAGGAGCCACAGAAACUAAAAGAGAACAGCACCCUUCAGUUCCAUAAAUUCUGAUCUUCUUUUAUCUCAUUCUCCAGAUUCUGAGCUUCUAAUUUUUGACUGGGUCCCUGGACCUUUCUCUUUUCCCAAAACCUUGUUCACCUCCCACUGGGACAGAACAGUUUCCUUUCUUGGGGAUAUUGGGCUGCUGGCUCCAGCCAAAAUGCAAUGGCAUGCAGCUGUAAAAUCUGCCCACCCUCCUUACAUACUGAUUCUUUCCUUGUUCCAUUGAGCAAACAAUCUGAAUAUAGAGGGUCCAAAGUGAUUUUUCCUUAAGAGUCCAAGAUCACUACUCCACACUUUCUGCCUGUGUUUCCCAUUCUCUGUCUAAAUUAAAAUAUAGGUAACUAUUCGUAUCAGAAAGAAAAAGGCUCCAUGGUGAAGAGUAUUUUCAGAGGUAUGUCUUACACACAGGAUUCAUAUUUUCCAUUUUAGUAUUGAAAGGUAAAUUGUUUUAAGGUGAAAUUUUCAAAAAGCACUUGAAGUCAGGCAAAAAGAUGCCCCCCUAUUGGGCAGGCCUCGUUUCAUGAAGUCAGGGGUGGAUGGAGGGAGUGAGUAGGGUGUUAUAGAAAGUAUCCACACUGAUCUCACUGUCCGUGAAGUGAAUCAUGUUUUCUUGUCUCUCUGUGUCAAUCUCUUCACCAAGAUCGGUGUUUGUGGGGACAAAAAACCACCUGGAAAAAUAGGAUUAAUAGGAAAAAGCAUCACAAGUGUUAUUACUACAUAGUCAGAUAUUGAAAUAGACAUGAGCUGUAGGAAGAGGUGAAUUUCAAAACAGAAAAAGAGCUGGAAUGUGUGGAAACAUUGCACAUAAAAUGUAGUGGCCCACUGCUGGUAGGAAGAAUUGCCACACGUAGGGCCUCCCUCGUGGCACAAAGGGUUAAGAUGCAACCUAUGAAGCUCGCAGCAGCCACUGCAGCAUGAGUUCGAUCCCCAGCCAGGGAGCUACCCACAUGGCACAGCAGACCUCUCCUGAUUUGCCUGCUGCUUCCCUCCGCAGUAGAUUUCAGUCAAUCCACCUGUUCUGUUCCCCACUCUAUCUCUGGUGAAUCCUCUUACCCCCACAACUCUGGCCUGUACCCCAAUUCUUACAUGUAUAAAUAAAUCUUUAAAAAAAAAUCUUAAAAAAAAAAAGAACAGCCGUACAUAGUAGAGAAAGCGCUGGGUUACGUUGAUGGCCAUCAAUGGCCUGGCGGGCUGGAUAAGAAGUUGUGGAAUAUUCACUCAACAGAAUACUGCUCAGCUAUUCUCAAAGGUGAAAUCUCACCUUUGUGACAACAUGGAUGAAAUGGAGGUGAUAAUACUAGUGACGUAAGUUAGAAAGCAAAAGACAAUUACUGGAUGGCUUCUCUCACAUGUGGAAUACAAAUACCCAAAGCAAACAAUGGAACGCAAAUGAGCAAGGACACAUGCAAAGCAGCUUUAUUUCACUGCACUAUUAACAUUCCUGUUCCAUGUCUGACUGAGCCUCUUCUCCAGAAAUCAAUUUGAAAAAAGAUAGUUAUGAUGAACCAUUGCCUAAUAGGGAUCAAAAUAUCAGCUGGGUUAUUGUGAAAACUAUACAAAAGCCCCAACUGGAAAGGGGACAUUGCCCCCCACCUUUUCCUCCAAAAUGAAAGCAAAGAUGGGGGCUGGGAUAGGGCUGGGAUCUAAACUGGCUUGUAUAGUCCGGCUGGACCUGCCAAAAGAUGCAAACAGGUCUAGGUCCAGAGACCAAGAGGAAGGCAGGGUCCCUGAUGAUACCCCUGCUUUCAUCUCUUGCUAUCAGUCCUUUCUCUCUCAUGCUGGAAGCCACCAAUGUGGACCAUUCAGACUUGACCUUUCUUAAGAGUAGAGCAAAUUCUCUAUCUCUUGUAGAAAAGUGAUGACUUCAGGAGAUCUUAGGCUUUCUUCUUCCCCAUCACAUUCACAAGCUUGGGCAUGAGGAUUCAUGGAUAUCUUUUGUAGUGGAAGAAAUCAAAAUGAAUUCUCCAGCUCCUUUCCAGAGUCAUAAGAGGCUAAGGAAUAGAACCUGCUCAGAGGCCUCAUGCUCGCUCUCUUUCAGCACCUCUAAUGGAACAAAUAUACCUAAAUGUUGCAUAUAUAAAUGUUGCCAGCCUUACCACUUUCCCUCCCAACACACACUAUGCCUUAAAACCUACUUAUUUGUACUCAGGUGAACAGAGACCAGCUUACACAGUCUAGGAAUGUAAAGCCAUCUUCAUGGCCCAUGUGCAUUUGUUUGUGUGUGUGUAACCUGCCCUUCACACUCUGAUGUCACCAAGUAUUAAGGAUGUUGUUGGCAUAAGGAGGAGCUACAGAUAUAGCCAGUGUUAAUCGCACCUGUGAUGUGUCUCAGUACACCCCAAUAGAACUCAGGAAAUGCCUUCCGCCUUUAAACAGCUCCCAUAAGAUAUUCUGAGGAUGCAGGCUGCUGUGUUUCCAUCAUUGCUGGCUCUAGGGCACCGGCACAUGGCCGAGGGCUAGUGAUGGGCAGUGGUCUGCUGGAAUUUUAGCAGCCCUAGUACCAUACUUUCCUUGGGAGACUGUGUGUGAUCAUGCACAGGUGGGGCUUGGGUUCUGGUUUGCAUUUCUGGUAUUGCUUUUCUUUUCUGGGGCCCAUUUUACAAACUGGAAUAUCUAAUUGCCUUUCUGGAGAUAAAGAGAUGCCUUUCUUUCCAGCAGAGCACUUAGAACAUCAAAAGGAUUGUCUGACUCUUGACAGAUCAACAUACCAGUGAAAUUUGGUUGCAGUUAAAUAAUCCCGGUCCCGGAAGGGGAGCCCUUGGCUGGCUUAGGAUGCUUUUCUCUGAGUGGUUUCUGCAGGACUUUGGUGGGAGCAGAUGAGGACCAUCUCUCUUUUCAUUCAUCAGGGUCAUUUACAAUUUAUCGAGAAUGAAAUAGGCUAGUUAGUGCUGGAAAAUGCAAAAAGAUAAACUUGGGUUACUAGGAUGGACUGUGUCCAGGCCAUCACAAGCCUGAUAAAAAGCCUUGUUAUAGAAGAGAAUCUAUUAAAGCAUUUGCAAGGGAUUUACGUGUCUUGUCACAUAAAGGCAUAGACAACACUCUGAUCUAUUAUUCUCAUUUCACAGAUGAGAAGGCUGAAGCACAGAGAUGCUGAGUGAUUCACCCAGUGUUACACAGUACUGUGUCCCAAGUUUGAACUGAGAUGAUCUAGUUUAGAACUUGUGCUUAAACAACUAUAUCACUAGAGCCUCCUGUUGCUUCUUUUUCUGUUGUUGUUAGCAUUUUCCAGGUCUACAGAGUUUAUAAGCAGGCCAAGUAAUACAUCUAACAUGCUAGCUGUUAGUAUUACUGACAUAUAUGACAUACAUGAGCAUGGUGUAUGUAUGAAGAAUUUAUAUUCAUUGUAUACAGUUAUUAAGGACAUUCCAGUGGAAGGAAUUACAGAAGCAAUUUAUCCCAGCUUCCCACCCAAUGCAGGAGUCCCCAGAGAAUCUAUUCAGCUUUGCUUGAACUUUAAGGUCAGGUGAAUAAAAAUACAACGGCCAGCACUAGAACUGAUGCUAAUAAUUCCUGUAACUAUGGAAACAAACUAGAAUACAAAGGACAAAAAAGGUUCUUAAAAGAGGGGGAAAAAAAGAUACAAGGACGCCUGUCUUCUAACUGGGUAUGGAUAUAUAAACCAUUACCUACACGGAAAAAAACAGUGCAGAAAAAAAAUCAAGGAAACAAAACAGCAACCACCGUUGUUGACAUCCUGGUCGCUGAAUCUUUGUUCAAUACUUACGUCCUGGGGAAGAGCUGGCUGUUUCUCAGUCUGUGGAAAGGGGCCGUAUCAGGUGGAGUCCUGAGGAAGCAGGUGGAAUGCUGGAAUAGAGUCAUGGACAGGGUUAAGGGACCCAAUAAAGAUGAGGAGGAUCCAGGGACUAACACCAGUGGGGAGCCAUCAGCACCCCUCCGCAUGGGGAGACAGAGAAGAGAGUCAGUUGUGUUUGUCACCAGGACCUGAGAGAACUGGCCUCCAGGGCUGCCUGCAGCUCAGAUCACAGCAGACAUCUAAGUGGACAAGCUGUUAAAACUAUGACCCCAACCUCUCUCUUCCCAUCUUUGUUGUCUGUGCUCCCAGCGACCUGACCAGACAAUGGACUCCACAGUCUCCCAGGCACAAGAAGGACAGAGUGGCUUGGGGACAAGGAGUUGAAAUGGAAAACAAUUGGCCAUUUCAUUUGGAUAAUAAAGAUAUCACCAGAAAAUUGGAGGGCUUGUGAUAUCUGGAUCCUAAAAAUCUGCUCAAUUAAUGAAAAAUUGUAUUUUAAUUCUGUGUCCUUUUUUUAAACAUGGCAACAAUAACCCAAUGCUUAAUACAGUGACAGAGAGGGGACAGCAGAUACAUAUGUGAUUUGUAUUUACUGCUUGAUCUUGUUUUGGCCUCAGGAAGCUGGAAUGUGCCCCAAAUUGAUCCACGUAUGGCAUCUAUUCAAUAUUUCUUUCAUCCGGGAAAAACACUAUUGACACUAAAGAUUGAUAAUAAAAUAUUAAAAUAGAAGGAAAACAUUAUGCCUCUUGAGUCCUCUGCGAUUAUAACAAUGUUACAUUAACUGGUAGAAUAUCGAGUUUAUGCUACAUCAGUUACUUUAAGAAUAACUGAAUAGUUUAGUUUUGUAUUCUGAGGGAGUCACAUUUCAGAUCCAUCUCCCCCAGAGGAGUCAGCCUCCAGGGCUGAUUGAGGGGUCAAGACAAAUGACAGUUUGUAAUCAUCCUCAUCUGGGGCUCAAGGAAUCUGUACAUUUUACUUUUGCAGAGGUUGCAGUUUUCAGCAUUGAUCUUCCCUUAAAUGGAUCUGUCAGAUUUUAGAAGGAAGAGGGAGAUAUUAGUGAAUUUUCAGUGUAAUAGAUGUAGAUGUAACUUCUCUCAAGGACUGAUUUAAUCCACUCCUCUUAUUAAUGAAACUGGAAAUAAGUGGAGGUAAAGACAUGAUUUUCCUCAGCACAUUAGUUUCUUGUAGGACGGAUUCCCUGACCAAAACAAAACAAAAAAACAACACCUGGCAUUCCAUUUUCUUGUACGUGGGGUAGCACAAGUGUGCCCUGUGCUGCCGGACAACACAUACAAGCUUAGGAACAGAUUUAUGUUUGUGGGGUACAAGGGAAAUUUCCCCCACCCCAUCUGGGUUCUUCUGAGUCUAGAUGGAUGAACAAAUGAACAUCAAAUGGAUUAGUAGGUGAAAAGGCCAAAAUUUAAUAACAUACCUGGA